rnacentral:rRNA from 1 species
AACGAACGCUGGCGGCAUGCCUAACGCAUGCAAGUCGAACGACACCUUCGGGUCUAGUGGCGCACGGGUGCGUAACGCGUGGGAACCUGCCCUUAGGUUCGGAAUAACUCCCCGAAAUGGGUGCUAAUACCGGAUAAUGUCUUCUGACCAAAGAUUUAUCGCCUUUGGAUGGGCCCGCGUUGGAUUAGCUAGUUGGUAGUGUAAAAGCCUACCAAGGCGACGAUCCAUAGCUGGUCUGAGAGGAUGAUCAGCCACACUGGGACUGAGACACGGCCCAGAAUCCUACGGGAGGGAGCAGAGGGGAAUAUUGGAAAAUGGGCGAAAGGCUGAACCAGCAAUGCCGGGUGAGUGAUGAAGGCCGUAGGGUUGUAAAGCUCUUUUACCCGGGAUGAUAAUGACAGUACCGGGAGAAUAAGCUCCGGCUAACUCCGUG